UCUUCAUUCCUCACACUCUCUCGCUGAUCAGAGUGACGAGAGAGCGUGGGAAAUGGUGAGA
rnacentral:pre_miRNA from 1 species